AAGCAGAUGAAGGUGAUUUGAUUUAUUCAGGUAUGUACAAGGUUUUUCCUGAAUCAAAAUUAGUCUUUGGUGGUGGUUGAUGAACAUGUUCAUUCACUCACACGCACAUUAAAAAGUACCUUAACCAUGUGUACAAAGGGCCCACAGUGCUUACAACUGUUUUAAAUGUAAAUAUUUUACAUUGAUACAAGACCCUCUGCUUCCUGUUGGGUCCUGAUUUCUGCGAUAACAUCUUGCUGCCUUUGUCUACAUUGUCCAUUACAUAUUGUUUAAUGUGAAUGAGUGGGUAAAAUGAUUUUACAUUUAUGUGUAGCAAAUUCUUAACUCUACAAGAUCCAGUACUCAAAAGUCUUGUAAACAAAUGUUUAAUGUGUGUUCCCUGGCAACUUCUAAGAUAUAUAUUUUUACUAACCAUACAGAAACUUAAUUUACUUAAAAAUACAAACAUGUACAUGGGUCAAAGACGAGACGUCACCAUUUUGGUGUCCGCAUCAAAUAUAAUUUACAAAAGUGAUUUUACAUACAAAAAACACCUAUAAAAUGAAAGUAAAAUGUCUACUUUUAUGUUUCAAAUAACUUUUGUGAAAAUACAAUGACCAAAUAUGAGUUUAAUAAUGCUCCAAAGUGUAAAAUCGUCAUUCAGCGUAAUGGUCCGGACUAUGAUUUUACUAAUAGAUUUUUAAAUAAACGUAUAAAAUACCAGGUUAAAAAAAUAUUUGCUUCCUUGGCAUGUUCACAUAAGUGUUGGCUGUUUUAUAUUAAUAGGACUAUGUGUUAUUUUUUUCGUUAAAUAUUGAAACAACUAGGGGACUUUUGUCCCGAAUAUGCAGUUUGUCAGAGGUCAUUCAGUGUAACGGGAUCAGGAAGCCAUUUUGAAAUUAAAUAAACAAACAAUAGUCAUCAAGCAGUCUGUGACAUCAUCAAAGGGGCCCCCUGAAGACCAUGUGGUGAUUCAGCAAGAUGCCCACAAACAAAGAGAAAGUUUCUAGGCACUGGCAGAAAGUUAAUGCAGACCCAGUAGCUAGGGCAAUGCAUUUAGCAAGGAGACGAGAAAGCAACCAGAGAAGAAAGCAAGCUGCCUUGGCUGCAAAUCCUGAUCACCCGUCAAUCAGGAAUUUAUCAGAUGCUGCAGCUGAGAAGAGGCGAAAGCAAUGGCGGGAAAAUCAAAGAAAACACAGGGCAGAAGCUAAACGUAUAAGGGCAGUUCUGGAUCUUAUUAUAUUACCACCUGUUCAGUUAAUUUUUACGAAUAUGAUAUGCAUUGUGGAAUAAAAUGAUUAUUAAUUUCAGCAUCUACUUCUGUGAUUUGUUUAGGAAUAAAAUGAUACAGAAUAAUAUUCAAAACAAAAACAAACAAAACAAUGACACUAUUUUUGUCAAAAAUGUCAUUCAGUGUAACAAACCAUGGUCAUUCGGUGUAACACAUAUAUUUAUGUAGAAAUGAAACAAUAUACUUAUUCUGAGCUGUACUUAUUAAAAUAUGUAAAAUAAUGUGUGAUCCUACAAAAAUUUUAUUUGAUUUGAAUUGAUUUUCACUUCCUUACAAAAACUUCUUGCUGACAAAUGGGUAAAACCUAAUGGUUUAAAGGAUAUUGGCGAAGUAAAAUGCUUUAAAAUGACAAAUAGUUAGUAUUUGGUGUCUGCACUGUGAUCUAUAAAUAUAGUCUUGUAAUGUGUCAUCAAAUAAUAGUUUUUUUUAAAAAUGUCUGAUAAUAUUUUUUUGCAUAAAAAUAUUGUUACACUGACUGAAUGACAUUUUAGUUGGUGUCUUCUGUAAAAUUCCAGUAAAAAUGUAUGGUAGUAAUUAUUUUUUGCUCAGAAAAACAUAAAGUUAAACAGGACAUAUUCUAAUGUAUGUGAAAAAGACUAAAUUUAAAGCUCUUUUACACUUUUAUUUUUUUUAUGCUUUAAACCCCCUUUUCGUCUUUGACCCACAUACAA